CGUCGGGACAAUAAGGGCGUAGGGUGGAUGCCUAGGCACCAAAUGCCGAUGAAGGACGUUGCAGGCAACGAAAUGCCUCGGGGAGCUGCCAAGCAAGCUUUGAUCCGGGGAUGUCCGAAUGGGGAAACCCGGCGUCGUGAAGCGACGUCGCAGCGCGCACGUCUCGUGCGCGUUGUGGGUACCCGGUGAAGUGAAACAUCUCAGUAACCGGAGGAAAAGAAAACAAGUCGGAUGACGUUUGACUGUUGCGGGUCUCGCGCGGCAACGUGCGAGCCCCACGGCUGUCAUCCGUCAUCUGAUCAUUCCCCUAGUAGUGGCGAGCGAACGGGGAACAGCCUAAAUCUCAUGGAGCGAGGACGGCCGAGCAUCGUUCUACCGCAAGGUGGCACGAUCAGUAGGAUGUCCUCACGCGGGACGGCGAUGGUCCAUGGGAGGUUAUCGCGUGAUCGGUUGGGUCCGUCCAGAGACCCAGAUUGGAGAGACACCCGCGAGGGUGAUGAUUCCUAGUCGAAUCCCCCUGGAAUGGGGAGCCAGAGCAGGUGAUAGCCCUGUAGGCGAAAGGAGUCAU
rnacentral:rRNA from 1 species